AUGGCGCUGCGAACCCUGGCGGCGAGGGCGGUGCGCCUCCAGACUCCGGUCCUCGGCCUCUCCCCUCCGCCCGCCGGCCGCCCCAACCUCCCCCCUCCGGCCGGCGGCCGCCUCAUCUCCAGCAGAAAUCUGGGAGGUUCUCCACCUGAAGAUGCUGCUCGGAAGAUUGUGCUUGAGAACGCUGCCACGCUUGAGCGCCUGGAGAAGAGUUAUGAAAUGUUCAAGGCACGUGUUCGAUUACUAGAGAAGGGAAGCAAUAUUCUGAAGUGGUCGUUGGCUUGCAUUAUCCCUGUGCCUUUGGUUUACAGCAUUGUGGAGUAUCAUUAUGAUAAGGAGGAACUGGCCAUUGUGAUUUGA
rnacentral:rRNA from 1 species